rnacentral:rRNA from 1 species
GAGAAGGGCCUAAAUUCCCUAAAGGCACUCAAUCCCAUUUGAUCUUGGAAGCUAAGCAGGGUCAGCGCUGCUUAGCACUUGGAUGGGAGACCAGCAAUGAAUACCAGGUGUUGUUUAUU